rnacentral:tRNA from 1 species
AGAAAUUUAGGUUACAUUAAACCAAGGACCUUCAAAGACCUAAACCAGGGCCAAUAAAACCCCUAAUUUCUG